rnacentral:rRNA from 1 species
GCAUAUCAAUAAGCGGAGGAAAAGAAACUAACAAGGAUUCCCCUAGUAACUGCGAGUGAAGAGGGAAAAGCUCAAAUUUAAAAUCUGGCAGCUUUGCUGUCCGAGUUGUAAUUUAGAGAAGUGAUGCCCGCGCUGGACCGUGUAUAAGUCUCCUGGAAUGGUGCGUCAUAGAGGGUGAGAAUCCCGUCUUUGACACGGACUCCCAGUGCAUUGUGGUACGCUCUCAAAGAGUCGUGUUGUUUGGGAAUGCAGCACUAAAUGGGUGGUAAAUUCCAUCUAAAGCUAAAUAUUGGCGAGAGACCGAUAGCAAACAAGUACCGUGAGGGAAAGAUGAAAAGAACUUUGGAAAGAGAGUGAAACAGUACGUGAAAUUGUUGAAAGGGAAACGCUUGAAGUCAGUCGCAUUGUCUGGGAAUCAGUCUUGCUUUUGCUUGAUGUACUUUCCAGUUAAUGGGUCAGCAUCAGUUUUGAUCGUUGGAUAAAGGCUGGAGGAAUGUGGCAUCUUCGGAUGUGUUAUAGCCUUCAGUUGCAUACAACGGUUGGGACUGAGGAAUUCAGCACGCCGCAAGGCCGGGUCUUGUACCACGUUCGUGCUUAGGAUGCUGGCAUAAUGGCUUUAAUCGACCCGUCUUGAAACACGGACCAAGGAGUCUAACAUGCCUGCAAGUAUUUGGGUGGAAAACUCGAGUGCGUAAUGAAAGUGAAAGUUGAGAACUCUUUAGAGUGCAUCGACGCCCGGACCAGACGUUUUCUGACGGAUCCGCGGUAGAGCAUGUAUGUUGGGACCCGAAAGAUGGUGAACUAUGCCUGAAUAGGGUGAAGCCAGAGGAAACUCUGGUGGAGGCUCGUAGCGAUUCUGACGUGCAAAUCGAUCGUCGAAUUUGGGUAUAGGGGGCGAAAGACUAAUCGAACCAUCUAGUAGCUGGUUCUGCCGAG